GGGCUCGUAGCUUAGUAGUAAAGCACUGCCUUCGCACGGCAGAGACCACGGGCGCGAUUCCCGUCGAGUCCA
rnacentral:tRNA from 1 species